AGUACUUGUUCUGAUAUUUUAUGUUCUGUAGUGAGUUUUCGGAUGGAGUCCAUGUUUUGUAAACUUGACAAAACGCACUAAAGAAUUGAAAAUUCUUGAUCUAUUCUGCAGCUAUAUGCUUUUUACGAUUCUGAAUAUGAAAGGAAUGCGGUG
rnacentral:lncRNA from 1 species